GACGAACCGUGCGAACGUUGUUCGGAUUCACUGGGCUUAAAGGGCGCGUAGGCGGUCGACCAAGUCUGGGGUGAAAUCUUUCGGCUCAACCGGAAAAGUGCCCCCGAUACUGGCCGGCUAGAGGGAGAUAGGGGCAUGCGGAACUUCCGGUGGAGCGGUGAAAUGCGUAGAUAUCGGAAGGAACGCCGGUGGCGAAAGCGGCGUGCUGGAUCUCUUCUGACGCUGAGGCGCGAAAGCCAGGGGAGCAAACGGG
rnacentral:rRNA from 1 species